UACGGAGGAUGCGAGCGUUAUCCGGAUUUAUUGGGUUUAAAGGGUGCGUAGGCGGGUUAUCAAGUCAGCGGUAAAAUCGUGGAGCUCAACUCCAUCCAGCCGUUGAAACUGAUGAUCUUGAGUGGGCGAGAAGUAUGCGGAAUGCGUGGUGUAGCGGUGAAAUGCAUAGAUAUCACGCAGAACUCCGAUUGCGAAGGCAGCAUACCGGCGCCCGACUGACGCUGAAGCACGAAAGCGUGGGUACCGAACAGG
rnacentral:rRNA from 1 species